rnacentral:tRNA from 1 species
GUUCUCUUAGUUCAACUGGUUAAAACGGCAUUCUUCUAAAGUGCGAAUUUUGGUUCGAGUCCAAAAGAGAAUU